rnacentral:rRNA from 1 species
AACAAACGCUGGCGGCGUGCCUAAUACAUGCAAGUCGAACGGGGAAAGCUUUCGGGUGAGUACUAGUGGCGCACGGGUGAGCAACGCGUGGAUAAUCUGCCUUAGAGUGGGGGAUAACUAGUCGAAAGAUUAGCUAAUACCGCAUAAGACCACAAGAACUGCGGUUCAAGAGGUCAAAGGUUUUUCGCUCUAAGAUGAGUCCGCGUAAGAUUAGCUAGUUGGUGAGGUAACGGCUCACCAAGGCAACGAUCUUUAACUGGUCUGAGAGGAUGAUCGGCCACACUGGAACUGAGACACGGUCCAGACUCCUACGGGAGGCAGCAGUGGGGAAUAUUGGACAAUGGGGGCAACCCUGAUCCAGCAAUGCCGCGUGCGUGAAGAAGGCCUGCGGGUUGUAAAGCACUUUCGGUGAGGAGGAAGGUUCUAGUGUUAAUAGCACUAGGAAUUGACGUUACUCACAUAAGAAGCACCGGCUAACUC